rnacentral:tRNA from 1 species
UUUGAAGUAGCUAUACUUAAGCGCCGGCCUUUUAAGCCGGAAAUGGAUAAUCUUAUCCCUCUAAGA